rnacentral:rRNA from 1 species
CCUACGGGUGACUGCAGUGAGGAAUAUUGGUCAAUGGGCGCGAGCCUGAACCAGCCAAGUAGCGUGAAGGAUGACUGCCCUACGGGUUGUAAACUUCUUUUAUAAAGGAAUAAAGUGCGGCACGUGUGCCUUUCUGUAUGUACUUUAUGAAUAAGGAUCGGCUAACGCCGUGCCAGCAGCCGCGGUAAUACGGAGGAUCCGAGCGUUCUCCGGAUUUAUUGGGUUUAAAGGGAGCGUGGAUGGGUUGUUAAGUCAGUUGUGAAAGUUUGCGGCUCAACCGUAAAAUUGCAAUUGAUACUGGCAGUCUUGAGUACAGUUGAGGUAGGCGGAAUUCGUGGUGUAGCGGUGAAAUGCUUAGAUAUCACGAAGAACUCCGAUUGCGAAGGCAGCUUACUAAACUGCCACUGACAUUGAUGCUCGAAAGUGUGGGUAUCAAACAGGAUUAGAUACCCUGGUAGUC